rnacentral:rRNA from 1 species
UACGGAGGGUGCGAGCGUUGCUCGGAAUCACUGGGCGUAAAGCGCACGUAGGCGGAUCUUUAAGUCAGGGGUGAAAUCCUGGAGCUCAACUCCAGAACUGCCUUUGAUACUGGUGAUCUUGAGUCCGGGAGAGGUGAGUGGAACUGCGAGUGUAGAGGUGAAAUUCGUAGAUAUUCGCAAGAACACCAGUGGCGAAGGCGGCUCACUGGCCCGGUACUGACGCUGAGGUGCGAAAGCGUGGGGAGCAAACAGG